GCGGGCAUCGUAUAAUGGCUACCUCAGCCUUCCGCUUUCGAUGAUGCGGGUUCGAUUCCCGCUGCCCGCUCCA
rnacentral:tRNA from 1 species